GCCGAGGUGGUGGAAUUGGUAGACACGCAAGCUUGAGGGGCUUGUGGGAGCAAUCCCGUGCAGGUUCAAGUCCUGUUCUCGGCA
rnacentral:tRNA from 1 species